GCUAUUGAUGGGCACCAAACCUUUGGUGGUUUUCUUCACUUGUUUUCAUGCUACACAUCAUUAAUCACCUAAAAACACUAACAUACUUAAAAAUCAAACCAAUCCAAGAUCAUUCUCUCUCCAUACCCAUUUUGACUAGCCAUGAAUUCACCAUGAAAGUAUGCUUUUCAACCAUAGAAAUAAGAAAAUAAAGCAUGGGUAUUGUAAAU
rnacentral:lncRNA from 1 species